rnacentral:rRNA from 1 species
GAUGAACGCUGGCGGCGUGCCUAAUACAUGCAAGUCGAGCGAACAGACGAGGAGCUUGCUCCUCUGACGUUAGCGGCGGACGGGUGAGUAACACGUGGAUAACCUACCUAUAAGACUGGGAUAACUUCGGGAAACCGGAGCUAAUACCGGAUAAUAUAUUGAACCGCAUGGUUCAAUAGUGAAAGACGGUUUUGCUGUCACUUAUAGAUGGAUCCGCGCCGCAUUAGCUAGUUGGUAAGGUAACGGCUUACCAAGGCAACGAUGCGUAGCCGACCUGAGAGGGGGAGCGGCGACACUGGAACUGUGACACGGGCCAGACACCUACGGGAGGCAGCAGCAGGGAAUAGGACGCAAUGGGCGGAAGCCUAACGUAGUAAGACCGCGAGAGUGAUGAAGGUAUUCGGAUCGUAAAACUCUGUUCGGAGGGAAAAACAAAGGCGUAAGUAAAUAUGGACGUAGUGACGGUACCUAAUGAGAAAGACACGGCUAACUACGUG